rnacentral:lncRNA from 1 species
UCGAACAACACGGAGAGCCGCAUGCCAUUUUAUUAAAAUUAACAAGACACAAUUGUCCACUGUCAAUAACAGGCGUGCGCUUGUUGGUCUUCCGUCCAGCCUCCAGAGUGUUGUUCCUUCUUGGGACCUCUGAGUGCACACAUACGAAGACACUUCGCUGCUGAAGCUGAGACUCGCCGGCCGCCGCCUGCUACACCGAAACCGCCAACCAUCUGUUUCCAGUUCUUCCGAAGUGCCAUCAGGAAUCAGAAGAGGGAAGGGUGGCGUGCUAGGCAAAGAAAAAUAUAGCAAUAUUACAAACAUAUAUAUGAUAUAUAUCACAUAUGCGAACAACAUUUGGGUAAAUAUAGAUCAUUUUUUCUGCUUGGAGCACGAUCACUAGAAUCAAACGCACAUAUAACUACAUGAAAACCAUAAAAACAAUAAAAUGUAACAAACUAAACUAAAACGGAUCAGUUGCUGGUCUGCUGGAAACAGCCUAGCUCCAACAAACAUCCAAAUAAAAAAUGCACUCUUGUUAAUCCCAUAACGAAACUGGUGAAUGUAGUAGUAGCACAAAAUGUAGUGGAAAGCACAGCAACAUCCAUAGAGCAAAACUAAGCUGAACACUAGUCCAUUCUCCAGAAACAAUAAUAAUCCCAGCAGCCAGCAACAACUUCGUGAGGAAAUAAUUCAUGGGAACAGGUAUAACACGGCAGGCAAAAAGAACGAUGCAUGCAUAAAUAUAUUGUCCAUUACUCCUUAUUUGUAUAUAAACUAGAGGUACUCAAACAUUAUUGUGCCCUUCACUUAAUAUACAUUGGAAAACUGCACAAUUUUUACAGCCGCUGAUCAUUUACAAUUUCAUGUAGAGAAGGUGACUCCGAGCCAUUGUAUUUACUAGGGACUGGGGUGUUCCGCCUGGACUGCCGCUUGGUUGCCACCAGGACUUGCUCUGCCUCUGGUUCACCAGCUAUCGAGAACUUCUCGUCGUCGUCAUCAACUUUGAACACCGGGUGGAUGUACGCGUUCAUCAGGUAUCCUUUCAGAUCAAAUCCUGGCUCUCUUGCACGUUCUAGGGUAUCCUUCUUCAUUGCCUCCUGUUAAAGGAAAUGGAAAAGUAUUAGUAGUUAUGUUUUAUGGUGUGACUGCCCUUUUUAAUCUAAUCAUAUUUUAAGUGAUACAUUUAUUAUAUAAUGUACAGGUUGCAUAAACAGUUGGUGCCAUCGGAUCAAUGUAAAGUAGUCAAUUCUUACAACAACACUAAUGAUAAUUCGGACACAAAUUUAAUCGGAUCACAAUUGUGCUGUCAUCGACAAAACAUGGCAGCUUUAAACAGAAUAAGGUAGUACAAUUCAUAGUCAACAUGAGUUGAAUCCUAGCUCUCCAACCACAAAGCUUCUCCUAACAAUAAGAUGGUCCUGGAAUUAUGUUUUUCCAGUCACGAUGUGUAACUAGGUAUAGUGACAGAACAUGAUAGUGCAAAUCACAGUGAACUUCCAAUGGGCACCAGCUAUAGAACUUUACUCGCCUCUGUUCCAAAUGUGGGUCGUUUUAGGAUUCUAUCCAGUCAACUUUAUUAACUUGGCCCAUAAAUAUAUAUUGACAACAUAGGUGAUGUUACUAGAUUCAUCAUAGGAAAAUACUUUCAUAAUAUAUAUUUUCACUAUUUAAAUGGUAUCCUUUUACAAAAUUGCAGAAGUGACACAUUAGAGACCAUGUCACUGUCCUAAACGACCUAAAUUUGGAAUCAGAGUAGUUGACAGUUAACACCUUCAUUUCUCAAUCGGUACUUUCCAAACUAACAAUUUGAUCCUAAAUGAGAAGAUCUGAGAACAGAAGUCAAUAAAUUUUUAAGCAACAUUUUUCAUGUUUAUUUGAAGAUCCACCAAGGACUUGUUAAUGCCAAAAGAAGCAUGAUCCCAUUCUAACAUCAAUUCAUUAUUAACUCCCAAAUUUGAAAAAGAAACAUACCUGUAACGGGCAUUUCACAAAAGUAGGUUCAUAGCGGUUCUUGCAGUACUUGUGGAAAUAAAAGGUUACAACAGGAAGAACAAGGAGCACUGGUGUUGACUGGCCAGCGCCUUUUGUGCUAAGUAAUCCAAGGAGAAGCAGUUGCGAUAUGAUCAAUGCUGUGAUUAUACGUCCAUGAACACUUGGCCAAAAUGCUGCUGCACUCUCAUAUUCUUGAUUGUACACAUUUAUUAUCUGAAACAGUGUAAAGAUUGUUGAUGAAAAUUACACAGCAUGAUCAGGACUAGUAACUCAAUCCAUAAUAAAUACAUGCAAUAUGCCAAUUAGAUGGAUACAAUAAUAUAUCUAAAUAAUCUUAUUGCCAAUGUAGCACAGCCCAAUGAGGGGCGUGAUUGCCAGAUGCAAUGGUUAAAAAAAAUCAUCUAAGAAAUCCAAGCAUCUUAGAUAUGUUUUCUUACCUGGUGGCGGUAUACAAUAUAUGCAAACCCAAAGAAUAUCAAUAUGAAAGGGAGCAAAAAUGGUGUCACCGCAGCAUAGACAAGACCAAGUAAGAAAUAGAGCUGAAUUUGAGGUUCACUUGAGUCAAAACCAAUACUUCCAGGGUCCAUUGCCUCUUCCCUAUCUUUCUCAGUCUUGACCAAGAAAAAGUUUUUCAAGUGAAAGAUUACCAGUGGCUUCAAUCUUAAUAUUUCACCAGCGACCCCAGCCCAACCAUCAACCAUUACAUAUGUUAUAAAAAAGGUUGCCUUCAUUGGAAUUGCUUCACCAACUGUCCUUGGUAUUCUGCAAAAGAGGCAAAUUAGAUACUAGGAAUAAAAGCAUACACAGUUUAACAGGAGAAAAUAUGGAAUGAAAGGGGUUCAAAUACAACCUUUUAAUAUCAAGAUGUUCAAACUAAUACCAGGUAACAAAGGAGAAUACACUGAAAAAUAGCAUGCCGAUAAAAUAAUUUCAUAACGGAGGAAAGUGAAUAUAUGAAUAGUUUUAGGGGUAUUCUCUCCAUCCAAAGUCCUUACCAUGAGCAUUAAAAGUACAAGUAUAUAUGGCAAACAUAUUAAACUGUAGAUCCUGCAGCAUCGUGCAACAUUUGUAGUACAGGCAUAUCCAACAUACCCAGUCAAACAUACCAUAAUUUUGCUGUCACAGCUCCGGAAAGAUACUUUCACCUAUGUGCUAUGUCCAAAGGCAAACACAUUGUUUUAAUAGCUACUUCAGGUAAGGGUUGACCACUGUUUCAUAUGUUAUUGAUGAACACAUAUUUCUAGCUUAAGCACAAUUAUUUCAAUAGUACGAUCAUUUCAUCAAGCCAAACUGUAAAUGAUGAAUUUUUUGUCAACAUGUAAUUACUCUCUCCAUUCCUUCUUUUUUUUGUAAGGCACUCACAACCCAAGAUUCAAACUAUAUACAAAUUUGGCAUCAUUAGAUUCAUAUUUGAAAAUAUUUUUAUAUGAUGUAAAUUCCAUGGUUAUGAACAAUAUAAUGUAGAGUUACUAAUGGUCAGAGUGUGGUGUUGGAGACCGCACUGGGUCAAACCACGCCUUACAAAAAGAAAAGGAGGGAGUAUGUUAUUGCAUCUAUAUCAGUACAUACAAAGACGACAAUGAUAAAUGGUGCAGCAUAAAGGAUUAACAAUAUGAGAAGGACAUACUCAUUUGCUGAUUGAUGUAUAUAGGUUUUUAGCUGCUCUAAAGCAGAUCCUGCAAUAAUGCUUGCCAGAAACACAUUGAAGAAUAUGAAGAUAUAGUAUUUGGAUGCAGAUCUUCUCUCCAGUGAAGAUAUUGAUGUCAAUCCUUCAACCUUAGACAUAAACAUUAAUAUGCUUGGGAGUAAUAUAAGGAAGAUCUUCAGAGCAAUUCCAGGAAGGAAACCUUGGAUGAAUGAUUUAAUAGUAGGUCUGAGAAAAAACAGUUGAAGUAAAAGGUUUAAGAGAUCAGGAAAAUGCCCACAUAACAAUGCACAAGAAAUAGAGGAAUGGGUAUACAAAUUUGGUACUGAAAAUUAACUUUAUGCCAGUAAUAUAUAUAUAUUCCUGUUAAAUCAAUUAGUCAGUUAGAUGACAAUGUAUGCAGCAGCAGUGACCUAAAUGGCACACCUAAAUAAGUUUGGGAUGUCAUGUCAUUUUUUGGUUUCACUUAACUCAUGGUUGGAACUUGAAAAAAGUGGCAUAAAUAAGUUCAGAAACUAUCAACCUUUAAACUGACCUUUUCAGAUUUAAGUGGCAUACACAAGUUAUGAAUAGUAAAAGCACACGUGUAAACGCUUAAGUGAUAGCUUGGAUUUCCUUAUAGUGUGAGCAAAAUAUCUUGUCACCAUGGCAACAACGGAAACUAAUACAAACACGUUGUGAUGGGAAUUCAAGUACUCGGCACAUGAAUAUAAAACAUCACAACAAACCCGCACCAGAACUGUACACCUCAGCAUAGCUACAGGAGCAGAGCAAAGUAUCCCAUGGUUCCUGGGCUAACCACAUUUACAUGCCACACUAUUUUCAUUUGGUAAUAGAAACUAGCUGUUUAAUUGGAUCAGUCUGUCUUUUUUUUCCCCAUGUACAGUUCUCAAAUGUUUUUGAUAAGAAAAAAACUGCUCUAUACAGUGUGUACUUCAAAAUGUAGGUUUAACAUUGGACAUUGAUUGUUACAUCAUUUUGCAACAGUUCUUAUUCUCAAACCAGUGCAGUCAUAUUUGCCAUCAUCCAUAGCAGAGUUAUGAUCAGCUUCUCUAGUACAAUUAAUUAUCGCAGUGCUGUUUUUUUCCCUUUUUAACAAAAGGUCACUCUAUGUAAGAUAGUGAACAUAGAGCUAUGACAUAUUUAUAUAGAUCCAACACAAUGGAAGUUUAAAACCAAUGGCAUACUACUACAGUAGGACUGAAAACAAAACAUUUGUGGAGAAGCAAUAGCAAUUAGACGUACAUUUCAAUGAGAGGCUUCAGAAAUGGAACUGCCUUCUCGAUCCCUUCAAGAUUUGCAAGAGACUGAACAAAUGCUAUUGGGAUCACAUAAAAGAAGUUCAGGAAGAAGAAUGCCACUGCCACAAUCAACCUUCGAAUUGUAAGGGAGACAAAUGGAAUAGACAAAUUAUCCCAGUACACAUCGCGAGGUUCUGGAGCCCAUUCAGUCAACCAAACAGUUGGAUUACUGGUUUGUUGUGUCUGAGCACAAACUGCCGCACCCCAACGUGAUCGGAAGGAAACAAAUGCUGCUGGGACGACUGAUUUAGGAUCCUUUACAAUCUUUUCACGCUCUUCUGCUUCCUAAAUAUCAUUUACACGAGGUGGUAAAUCUGACAGUUUGUGAAAGUUAUCAUUGUUUUAAAAGAAAAGGAACUGUAACAUUGUGGAAUACAAAUAUAUAACUGAUAGUCCUAUCAAAAUUUGAUUUUCCAUUGCAUGCAAAAUACCUACCUUAAAAAAUACCACUUCAGUAGCACAUUUCGUGUCACUAAAAAACCUAAGACUCUACUUAAGAGAAAAAGAUAUGCACAGCCAACUAUACUUAUCUGAAUGAGCGUUUGAAAUAUAGGAGGAAGUCCAUGUUUGACCUCUAACUAUCACUAGAGACCAAUUUUGGCCCUCAGACUCCAAGACCGAAUAUCUUCGGCACCCCAACUGUCAAAACUGUUUAUUUUUCACCCAUUGCCGGUUUCAAAGGUGGUUUUGCCUGGUUUUGCGUCACCUGCCAUGCUGUCUAUCAUCGCCACAUCAGCACCAUUUCCUCCUUUUCUUCCACCCCUUUCUCUCCCGUGGUUGAGAGAUGUUGCUCUCAUUCGUCGAUGGACUAGAGAACUACCCUGCUGUACCUCGAUUAUGAUGUGGGCCCUCACACACCGCCUUGCUCCACUGUGUUACAGCGAGCACCCACCCGGCAUCCGAUGUCAGGCCUGCCCAAGCUGAGUUGCCGGUAAGCUACCUAGGAGCAUGCAGAAGCUCAUGUGCCAUGUCUGUGCACGUCCAGGCAGUGCAUCAAGCACGGCAGUGGGCAGCAGCGGCUGGCUUCUGGCAGAAGGAAGUGAGGUAGUUAUGAGUGGUCAGCAGGAAGAAAUGAGACCUGGUUUUUCUUUAAUUAUUGAAAAAGGUGGCAUUUGGUUAACCAUGUAAAUACCAUGCAAGAUGACAUGGUGCAAAACCGGGAAAAAAACACCUUUCCCACCAAGGGUGCAAAGCAAACUGUCUUGACACAGUUAAGAGUGCCAAAGAUACCCGGUUUUGGAGUUGGGAGGACUAAAAUCAGACUUCGGCGACAGUUGGAUGGUGAAAAAUGACUUCUUUCAUAGUGUGUAUUUGAUACACACCAUCAAUACCAAAGGGUUUACGACCUGACUCCAUCAAACCAAAUUGUAAACAUCUAUUUUUUUGCCGGCACAAUUAUAACUCAAGAUGAAUAUUGUUCAUUAAAAGAUGAGCCCUCAGCAGAUGGUGUGACUCACUUCAUUUUCUAUCCUCUCAAUUUCUGAUUUGUAGUAUUCAAUAGCAUCCACCUUGGUACCAAAACAACCAAGAAAACCAGUCUGCAGCAGAGGAGAGUAAUGCAAAGAAUUAGAAUGAAAAUAAAAAGGUUCCUAUUUUGAUUGAAAGAGAAUAUAUGAAAGAGAAGUAGGAUAUGGUUUAUUUUUGUGGAAUAACCUUAGUGGUAGGCCUCUGAGAUGCAUUUCUUUCAAACUUCAGCAGAUAGAAGUCAAGCCAAUUCUGCAUCUUUGUCUUCUCUUUCACCAAUUUAGCAAGCUUAUUUGCAUUGUAAACAACCUAAAAAAAAGUGAAUGCAGUGAAAUCUUUCAUAACAUGGCUUGUUCUGUUUUACGGAAUAAGAAAAAUUCAAAAUACCACUUAAACUUUAUGUCACAAGGAAUCAAAUAACAUUCCAUCUUAAUUGGAAUCAAAUGUAAGAAAUUUAAGUGAAGCAAACAUGGAAUCACCAAACCAUAUUACCCAGGAAGAUGGUACACCGGAGAAUCAAUAUAUAUAAAUUGGAAGAAGAAAAUAAGGAUCAUAAUAUGGAUAUUAAUGUAAGAUGUAAUGAUUACCUGGUGCGUCAGAUAGUGAUCAGGAUGAUUCACAAGAAAGAAAUGUUCGACAAGCUCACCAAUUGAUUCAUCUGGAUCAGGCGGUAUAUUCCGCACAAGGACCUGAAACACUAACAUUAGUUAAUUACAUUAUACAAGUAAUAAUCAAAACAACAGAAUCCAGUUGAUAUUUUUUAAGAACAAAGGAAAUAAGCUCACAUCUCAAAAUCUAUGUGAACUGAAGUAACAUUGAAUAUCAAGUUUAAUUCAGUUAAGCAUCUGAAUAUCAUUGUGCUCAUGGCAUAAUUCAAUCAAUUGAUAUAAAUCUUGUCUGUACUUCGCCUUAAUCUUAUGUGGCCAUGUGGGAGAUUGCUGAAAUAUCAUUUUCUCUGCAAACCUGCUCACAAUUGAUAUACAACCCAUCACUAAUGUAUUACAAACAGUAUGAUGUACAUCUUUCUAGCCCUUAUACUACCUUAUAAUCCCACCCCCCACCCCCACCCAUUUUCUCUGCGGUUGAGGAAUACCCAGCCAAUAUUAAGUGGAGAGAGUACUGAAGCACACAAUUUUUAACUAUCAUGCUGAUUGGUUAAACACGCAAACACACAAUGAACUGCAUUCUGUCUAUUCAGUUGAAAUAGAUAAAAAGGAACACAACAGGUUCACAGAGACAUACCGUGAACUGGUCUGGCCUGCGUUUCUCUGAUGCAAGAAAACGCAGUCUCAUUUGUGCAACAAUUUCAUACUCACGUAAUAGUACAUAGCAGGUCCAAAAUGUGAAAACAUAAGCCAUAGUCAAGUGGGCUAUAAACCUUCACAAAGAGAACUGAGUCAGGACUCCUGAGCAGUCAGUGUGAACUCAAAACUACAAUCCCUAAUUUGAAUGACAAGGUGUACCAUGAAAUGUAAACAUUGAAAGUACUUUUAGCAUCCAAACCCCUUUCUCUAAAUCUAAUGCUUGAGCUUCAAUUAUUUUUAUGCGCAAAGUUGUCUUGUUUGUUCCACAUUAUGAACUUUGGCUCCUAAGUUGGCAAUUACUCUUUCACAAGCCGCACCUUCUAUCUCAGUUAACCCCAAAGUCUAUGUUGUAAAACUCUGGUUGGUUUAACUAUCAAAUAAUGCAUACAGCAUGCAAAAAUAAUUAGCCUUUGUAGCCAACACUUCCCCCAAAGAAUCGUGGUGUCAUAACAUGAGCUUCAUACACAAAUCAUCAAGUGCUAACCUUUUUGAUCCAACAGGUAUGUUUGAUAUCGAAAGAUUAUCAACGUCGCUGUGAUGGACCUUCGAGAAUUCCAGAGCAUCAUUGGUCCAGUUAACAGGGACAAGAACAGCGAAUGCUAGAAUUGUGAUUGGAACAAAUAUUUUAAGCCUGCAACGAUCGAAACAAGUAAAUAAGUAAAAGCUAAGUAAAAAAGGAGAUGGGCAGCAAUGUGAACAAUAGAAACAUAAAGCAAGUGGGAACAGCAAACGUUUUGAUUCAAUAGAAACAUAUCGAAUUGGGUGCAUUCCCUUUUCUUUUCUCCAGAAGGAAUCCUGGAGACUAGAUAUCCAAUUGGCAAAUUAGUAGUCUAAUAUAGAGUAGUUGGCAUAACCAAACAGAGCAAAGACCUAGCCCUGAAUUAGCCAACAUAGCUAGCAACAAAGCUGGUAGCACCAGUUCAUUCCUUUUGCGAAGCCUUUCAAAUGUAUUUUUAGUAUUGCAGAUUAAUACAAUAAUUAGCGACAUUAUGAUGUCGAUUGACCAUUUGUAAACCAAAAGGAUGCUCUAUUUACAAAUAUGUCUAGGCUGUCAGAAACCUCCUUUGACAGAAACUAGUAGUCAGUAAUGUCCUAUCUCAGGUGCAACUGGAGAGAGAAACUGAUAUGACAAACAAAAGCAUUAAAAUAUGACCACAGUAUAUCGAAUACAAAUCACGUACCCAACUAAGUAAAUCCGCAGAUAGACAGCUGAAUCAAGCCCUGCAUGGCUGAUCAACUCAUCCUCGGGCAUUUUGAGAGCAGCGGGCAUCCAACUUAAGAACUUCAAGUACGACCGCAUGUCCAAAUUGACAAAUUUCCGAACAAAUGUACCCCCAUGACUUGGGCUCUCUCUUGCACCUUUGAGGUACCAUUUUGGGAAGUAAACCCUAUCAUUGAUUGGCUGCAGUCGUAGGAAAGCAAAUGCUAACAGGAAUAUUAUGGCGCCCAGUAUGUUGAUAGCCGCAGAGAGGCCUAUAUCUUUAAUAGUAGCCAUAGUUGUCCUUUAAAUAGCUUGGGAAAUUCCUAUAGGAUUUAUCUGCAAGAUGUAAGGAAGAACACAAUCAUCAACCACUAGAUAGUAUGAUGUCACGAGAACACACUUGUAAACAAAACCAAAUAUGAGAAGUGGUGAAUGAUGAGGUUAUAGAGAACAUGGCCUAUCAAAGGACAAACACUUCACAUAGGGCGACUUAGUGUAAGUUGCCAAAGAGUAACACAAAAUCACUCUGAAACGCACAAAACAACACAAAUCUGGUUUGUCUAGUUUGUAGUUAGGCAUUGGACAUUGGUGAACCCUUUGUAAGUAACUACAAUGAAUUGAACUAUUCGCAAACGGUUUUGAACUUUUUGAGCACAAAGAAUGUUGGCAGAAACCACAAACAAAAAAAUUUAUAUAUAUAUAUGUUCCAUUAUACUAUAUGCAACUUAUAAAUUUAUGUGUUAUGAGUCAUUCCUAGAUAUAUGAAGUACUGGGCCAAUUUUGACUUAUCAGCACAAAAACAAGUCAACCAGUGAACAGAAGUAAAAGAUAGGCAUAACUAAGCCUUAAAAACAUUUUGAUUCGUAGUUGAACAACUGUGAUUCUAAGUUUCACAUGAUAAAGCAAGUUUUAACUCUGGGUUGCGGACGGCACUUCUACCUGACCCAAAACAAAAUGGUUUGUACCAGAGAGGCAGGAAAUGAAGCCAAGAUUGUGAUCUGUAGCUAGUGUAAGCCAACCCUGACUCCUGAUCCUUUCCUAUAGUCUAUGAGAUAUUCAAUGGAUAAGUAACAAACUUCGUGCUGUGACGUGUCAACAUCAAACUCAAAAGAUACUAGCUGAGCAGCAACAGCACUAGAUCACUACUUAUCGCAGGUGGGGGAUCUAAUAUUUAAAAUCUAUUUAGCAGAAGAAAUUGGUCGAUUUUAAGGAGACAUCCAGGCUCCGAAAUUGCAAAACUAAAACCGCACUGCCAUCACUUGGAUUAUUGGACUCCUAAUUGGAUUAUUUGCCCACGUAUACAAAUAGUAACAAUAAACCUCCCGGGUUUUUAGUGCGGAAUUUAAGGCGUGAGCCCGUGACAGCUCAAAAGCUCAUAAAACUUUGCAUAAAUUCGUUCUCCCAGGAAACGUCCGCGUGAAGCGUUAAGCCAUCCUGGAAUGUUGAAGCGGCGCCAUCGCCAAGAAAGGUUAUACCCGGCAAAUCUUUAAAGGUGGCAUUAGGCAGGCCAAGUUGUCGACUUUAAUUAAGUUGUCAGCUCAAGUGGAAAAGGCGC